rnacentral:lncRNA from 1 species
UGGAAACAGUUACAGCAAAAAACUGUAAAUGACUCAAACUGUGAAACAACCGUUGUACUCUAAAAGCUUAAGCUAUUAGAGAACGGACGUAUGGGAGACUUUUUAAUCUGCCGAUGACGUGGGCUUGAAUUAAAUGAGAGGAAAUUAAUAUGCUAGAAGUCUGGCGUGAUUCGAACUCAGGACCUCCUGCUCUGAUACCAUGUGAAACAACCGUUGUACUCUAAAAGUUUAAGCUAUUAGAGAACGGUGUUUAAACAUUUUUAUAUUUAACAAAAACAAUUAUAACCGAAUUCCAUAAACAGCCGAAGCU